UAUUGGAGUAUCAUAUAAAAAGAGGUAAUAGUAAGUAUAGGUAUUAUUAUUCGGUUAUAUUAGGAUGAGUUUGAACUUUGAAGUGCAGGGAUAGGCGUGGUGUGGUUGGAUGAAUAAAAUGAAAAUGGAAUUAAUUAAUAGUCGUCGUCGUAGCCGCCGGCGGCGUAGUCGUCGUCUCUGUCGAGAUCGUCCUCCACCUUCUCCGCCACGCCCUCCUCGAACUUGUCCUCCAGGUAGCUCGCGCCGCCGGCCAGCGCCAGCCCUCCCAGCACGCCCGCCGCCGCGCCCACCGCCAGCCCUGUCCCCAUCCCCAUCUUGCUCUUCUUCUUCGUCUCCUCCACAACCACCGGCGCCCCACCUGCUGCACCG
rnacentral:lncRNA from 1 species